CUACGGGUCGCAGCAGUGAGGAAUAUUGCACAAUGGGGGGAACCCUGAUGCAGCAACGCCGCGUGGAGGAUGACGCAUUUCGGUGUGUAAACUCCUUUGAUAUGUCAAGAAAAUGACGGUAGCAUAUGAAUAAGCACCGGCUAACUCCGUGCCAGCAGCCGCGGUAAUACGGAGGGUGCAAGCGUUACUCGGAAUCACUGGGCGUAAAGGACGCGUAGGCGGGUUGGAAAGUCAGGUGUGAAAUCCUACAGCUUAACUGUAGAACUGCACUUGAAACUUCUAAUCUAGAGUAUGGUAGGGGGAGAUGGAAUUAGUGGUGUAGGGGUAAAAUCCGUAGAUAUCACUAGGAAUACCUAAAGCGAAGGCGAUCUCCUGGAACAUUACUGACGCUAAGGCGUGAAAGCGUGGGGAGCAAACAGGAUUAGAUACCCCUGUAGUC
rnacentral:rRNA from 1 species